GUGAACGCUGGCGGCAGGCCUAACACAUGCAAGUCGAACGGCAGCACAGUAAGAGCUUGCUCUUACGGGUGGCGAGUGACGGACGGGUGAGGAAUACAUCGGAAUCUACUUUUUCGUGGGGGAUAACGUAGGGAAACUUACGCUAAUACCGCAUACGACCUACGGGUGAAAGCAGGGGAUCUUCGGACCUUGCGCGAUUGAAUGAGCCGAUGUCGGAUUAGCUAGUUGGCGGGGUAAAGGCCCACCAAGGCGACGAUCCGUAGCUGGUCUGAGAGGAUGAUCAGCCACACUGGAACUGAGACACGGUCCAGACUCCUACGGGAGGCAGCAGUGGGGAAUAUUGGACAAUGGGCGCAAGCCUGAUCCAGCCAUACCGCGUGGGUGAAGAAGGCCUUCGGGUUGUAAAGCCCUUUUGUUGGGAAAGAAAAGCAGCAGGUUAAUACCCCGCUGUUCUGACGGUACCCAAAGAAUAAGCACCGGCUAACUUCGUG
rnacentral:rRNA from 1 species